GCGUCCCGGCGGUGCCCCGGGCGGGCCGGGGCCCGACACCGGCCUUCUCCGCAAGGGUGCGGCCGCUGGCCGCUGCACUCCGCUUACGUUCUUGGGGCGGCUGAGGGCGGUGGCUCUGCGUGCGGCGAGCUGGGAUCGGCGUGGUUCCUGCGGUGCUUCAGGCCCGGCGGUGCCUCCAGGGGCCUCUGCCGCGCCUUCCCCGGGGGCCGCGGGCGGGCGCUGCGCAUUCCCCGUGGGCCGGCCGGGAGAGGCUUUCCUGGGCAUCGCUCCGCUGGGGCGGGCACGGACACGCUGUUCCGAGCGCAGCCCUCGCCCUGUCAGGGAUUUAGCCUCUGAUGUUCGUAUCCGCAGUUAAAUCUUCCUUGAUGGGUAUGCGUGGUGUGAGGCACAGCGGGUUUGGUUCUGAGCGCUGCUUUGAUGUACUGAGUCUGCCUCGGGAGGGGCGCUUGGCGUGGCGCUCGAGUCUCACCUGAGCAUCUUAGGGAAGGAUGGUCAGGGCUGAAGAGAAUGCAAUGCGCUGGUUCAGGGAAAUAGUGCCAGCUCUAUGCUUAAGGUCCUGUUCUGGAUAAAACUCCUCCAGUUCCGGUAUUCUGUUGUAGGUCGGUGUUUUUCUUCUCCGAUUGCAAAACAUUGGUUGAGGUUAUCAAUGGGCCGAGUGAUCCAGGCUUUUCAGGGGGGGUGGAGAAGGGUGGUUUGUUGGUCCUUUUGAUGUAUGUCAUUUCUCCGGAGAGCUGUGUGAGAUACAAUCUGCUGUGAUUGUCACAUUUGUUAUCAAAUUCCCAGUGGCAGUCGUAGAUUUCACUUUCUUUGCCUUAAGUGUUGGUAAGGCUACAAGAGGUAAUUGCUUAUCCUUUGUUUCCCACCUUUACCACUUUACAGUACCGGUUUGAAAACAAUGUUAAAUUUUAGAUUAAGACAGUGUUUAGAGAGACCGUGCUUAAGCGAGUGCUUGCUUUUUGAUCUGAGUUAUUUUCAUCAAUUAAUUUUCUCUUUUCUUUCUUUGUAAUUUGAACAGAUUAAGUAAAGAGUAUUUUUGUUGGAAUAUGUGACAAUAUAUGAAGAGAUCAGUUGAUAGCUUUUGAUUUGAAAUAGUGGAGCUCUUCAGCAUUCUGCCAUAUUAGGUGUAUGUUUGUACUUAAGUACUGGUGUGAUUCUCUAAAUGGAUUCUGCCAGUCAACAUACAGUAAAUGGUCUGUUGUGGUUAAUACUUCUUUGGAAAUCUCAUGUCAAGUUGGUUUUUUUUAUUUAUUAUUCAUACACUACUCAAACUCCCAACAAAAUAGUUGUUACACUGUGCAGGCAGUCCUUUGUUCCUUAUUACUUUUUAAUUUACGUUUUCUUUUUAUUGGUAGAGUUCAACUGUAUCAGUGUGUAUAUAUAUGUAUAUUCAGACUAUAUUAUAUACAUACAGUAUAUGUAUUAGUUACUAUGGGUGACUGAGGCCAAAGGGAUUUGAGGUGAAAUUUCUUGGACUUGCUCAGUUUCCACUGCUCCAAAGUGCAGUUAUAUGAAUAGAACUGCUUAAACAUGAGGUUUGAUCUUGGCUAGAUCUGCCAGCUAGACACAGUAAUAGAGGUGUGAGAGCUUAGUUAAGAAGUCUCUAUCACCAUUCUGUUGACAGGAAAUUACAGCAGUGAUGAUAGCAACAAUUGUUAUUAUUAGUAUUGAAAUACAUCACCUUGUAAAGCAUCUUUUAGAGAACUAUAAAACUGCAGCAGUUGGAAUGACAUAGUUAAUGUUUAUCACAAUAUUAUGGAAAGGUUAAUUAUCAGAGUAUGUGGCUUUGUUAACUGCCUUUUUUAACAGCUGUGAUUUUGGAGAAUUUCACAAUUUAUAGUUGAAAAUUUUACAGUAAAUUAAAAAAGACUGGAAAUUAAUUUUGCAUUUUUGCACUGCAUGUUGCUCUUUCUGUAAUCACCUCUUCUCUGUAUCUCUUCGUUUUUUCAUACAUCCUAUUCUGAAAAUUUCCUUAAGGGUUAGGGAAGUUGAAAUUAAUGGAAGUUAAUUAUUUCUUUAAAUUAUCUUUUAGGUGGCUUGAGAACCAAUCAGUGAUCCUGGAUAUAAUCUAGAGGUGUAUAUCACAGAUUGAGUGAAAUAACUGGAAUUUUUCUGUUCUUCUUGUUUUACAAAAAUACACCGGAAACUCAAGAAAUCGGGUCUUAAAAAUCUGAGCAAAGCUGGAUCCAAGAGCAUCUUCUCACAACCAACCAAGUUAAGUGAUGAAUAAAACAGAGGUGGUGAUCUGGUGGCAGGCAAAAGAAUGAAUUUUGAUGUCACCUUCUUGUGUCCUUCCCCAUAAAAAUGAGGAGGCAAAUUUUUAUUCUGAAUUAGCCCAUCUAUUUUUGGAUUUCUUCUGUGACAAAUGACUAGGGAUUCUAACAGUUGAACUUCCUCCAUUGCAAACCAUCUUAAUCAUCUGCAGACCAGGUUUGUCCUCUAGAAUGAAUGAGGAAGAGAUAGUAAAGUGAUUAAGACUGGAUUUGGGUCUCAUUACUAAUUGAAUUUUAACUUAAUCAUACUAAGGCUGAAGUAUUAACUCAUUGUAAACAUUGGAGAUUGUUUCUUAGAUACAUGUUUGUGAGUGAGCUAACUAGGAAAAGAACUUCCCUCACAUCUCAUAUUACAUUUGCAGGUUUUUAAGCUGACACCAGAGGAAUUGAGAAAAGGGAAGUUACUCUAAGGAUUUCAACAAAUAAAAUAAACUUUAUGUAUAAUUAAAAAUUAUGAAGGCAAUGAGCAACUUGUUUUUGCUUGGAUGAGUGCUGUGUAGAGAAUGCUUUCCAGUGCAGAGGAAAGGAGGUAGGAAAGAGCGACAGUAGCAAUGUAUUUGCAUAAUAUUGUUUACUUGGGUUAUGCUAUUUUACUAAGCUACUUGGUUUAUCACAAACUCGGGUAUCUUACGAAAUCCAAACCUGAUCAGGAGAACAGCCACAGAAACGAAAAGCAAUUGUAUUUCUCAAAAAUCAUUGUUUAUCAGAUACAGCUAUGGAGCACACUUUGUUUUCCCUUUGCUAUGGCUGCAUUUGACAAAAUUGUUCAGUUCAAAUAGGUUCUUUUUUUUUUUGCAUUAUCUUUCUGUAAAUUCUGCCUUAUGUCUGCUACUCAGGUUUCCUCAGUGUGUCUUGUGAAAAAAGUGGUCAAAAUCCAAUGUAGAUUAGCCACACUGUUUUGGAUUUCUUUGCUGUACAAGUAUGAUAUUUUUAGAACUUUUUGCAUAGCAAUUACUGUUUUGUUUUUUGAAUCCUACCCAUUACCACUGACGUUGUCUUUACCCCUAACUUGGCUCAGUUAGUUAUGCUGUGUGAAUUGACAGACACUCCACUUCUAAACAUGCAGCUGCUUUUGUAAACUAAACUAAUGAUAGCUAAUAACUGGGGAUGCUGAAGAGGCACUCCCAAAUCCUGGAUUUACUUUACUGCUGCUCUCUUGUGCUCGUAAUCAUUUUCAUCUGAUCAUGCAGGGAGGCACUCUGGGAGCUAAACAAAAAAUGGGUAACUUGUUUAUGAAGGGGUUGUUCUGAUGGUAGUUAUCCUGUGGCAGGAACAGCUUCCCACAAAGACCUUUGCAGGGGGAGUUACUAUGCAGAACAUAAUAAAGGUGCCAAACUGUAAACACUAGGAAUUAAAUAAUUGAUACUGAAGAGACAAUGAUGGAAGAGAAAGGGAAUAUUAUUCUCUUGAUUAUGGCUCUGUCUAGUCUACUCUUUUGGAAACAGCAAUAUCAUCAUACAUAAUAGUGUCAAUAACUGUUCCAAGGGUUUGUUCUUGAUAAAAUACUCUCAAAAAUAGUAGAUGAUAGCUUUGCUGUUUGGCAGACCUACAGGUCAGUACAUGGGCAGGCUCUGUGCUUGUGUUGCAGCCUGUUGUAAUUUGGAUGCAGGUUUUUGUUGUCUAUUAUUGGAGCAUAGCUUACAUGUUUCCAUGUACAUCCUAAUAAUGAAGUUUGGUUUUGCAUCUUUGCACUGUCCAGAGGAGUGAGCUCAAUCCUCACCUUCCACCAUGCAACAGUUAUGAGCACAUCCUAUAGAGAGCUCCUUAAAACUGCAAAAUCCUGAAGGUAUCCUUUAAUGAUGUUAAAGGGUUCAAGAUAGUGGAUAAGUAAAGCAGGCAGUAGGUUUCUCUGUCAAUUGCCUAUCUCAGCAAAGUGCUUGGUGUAUCUCUCCAUCAGCAAGUGACAGGAUACACACCUCUUCUUGCAGUAGGUGACCCCAAGUAGUAGUUCCAACAAAUGCUUAAAUGGAAAUGGGGUGAGGGCCUUUGCAUAGCAGCUUUACUAUGAAGACCACACUGUCAAAUGAUCUUCAAGCUCAUCUAUAGAUAACAUCCCAUAGGACUGCUUAGCAGAUGCAGCUUACAGAGGUAUUUCUUAGCAAGCACCCUGAUCUAGUGUGACUUCUGGUGGAGCUCUGAGGAUAAAAGGUCUCUGGACCUUCAUCAGUACCAUAAAAGGCACUGACACAGGUCCCAGUGUUUUUUAAACUUGUGUUUUGGUGAAGACUGUUCGUUUGGAUUGACAUGAGCUGUUCUGCAGGGUCAGACUAAAGGGUCUUAGCAAUUCAUAAACAAAGAACUGCUUUGGCUGUGAGAAUGAAAAAGGUGGUAUGUGCAGGAAGUAAGAGUUACUGAGGCUGUAAGAAACAAAAAAUCCUUGAUUCUAUAGCAGUUGGUGAACAUUAUAUACACCGAUAUUAUUUAAUUUAUUCCCUCUUUUGUCAUAAUACAGCUAAGACUUCCAGAUCAGAGGAGCGAGAAGGAAAAUCCAGACAAUUCUUCCUAACCAGAGAACAAGGAAUAUAUUCAGUAAACAAGUAGGAGUGAAAUGGACCAACACUUUUAUAUAUUUGAAGCAAAAAAUUUGAUCUUCAUUCCAGGAUGGUCAUCCAGGACUUUGAACCAUAUAUCCCACUCAGUCUAGUACGAUAUACCAGUCUUUCAUACAAGAUACCAAUGAUGACUAGGAGAUGGAGCAGUGAUAAUGUGUAUUUUUCAAAUACACAUUAUACAAAUGUGUAUUACACAAAUACAAAAAUUUGCAAAGAUCACCCAGAAGAUGCAGAGUGAUUCUGCACCACCACCCCACGGACUGAAAAUAAACAGCUGAAAUCAUGUGAGCACACUUCUGUAAUAUGUCUAUUGAUAAGAUUACAAUCUUUUCCACAGUGAAUGCUGUUGUGGCUUCUGUGAGGUUUGGGAACAACCUUUCUUUUGUGAACUUGUGAAGUCAUGCCCACGAGUAUUCUACCAGUGCCACAUACCAUGGCUGAUGAAGUGAGAUCUAAAAGCAUCCCCGUGUAGGAUGAGAGGACCACGGUAAUAAUGUUGUAUCUCAUAGAUGAGUGUGAAGGUGUAAAUUGUAUGAUGGAGAAGCCAAACUUGAAAAUUUACUGGUGAUACAUUACCUUAAGGCAUCAUACAGAAGUAUCACAUGCAAGGUUAGGCAGAUUUGUCAUCAUGAUAGGAAGAAGACCCACAUGUGUAUGUUAUGGCAGUCCAAAACCUUUCUUGAAAUACAGGUUGUUGUAGGUUCCGAGGAGUGAGUUCCGAAUCUUUCUGGUCCCUUCAGCGGCCAGCUGUCCGGGCCCAGAGAGGGAUACAAAGUUGCAUCCAAAGUAGGUCAGUACGCCUGCCAGUAUUUACAGCUGCAGUGAGCCUUGAGUUGGCUUUUAGUGAUCUGUGAAACAAAGCUGAUACACUUUAGAAAUAUAGAAAUGUGUCUCAUUAAGUUUGAUUCUAUGAGAAAAUAGAGGAGGAUGCCAAGGCAGAUGAAUAGUGAUUAUGUUUCUUUGCGUGAUCUUUCUUGCAGUGAUUCUGUUGAAAGCUUGACAACUAGUGGAGGUGAAAGCUAGUAGGCCGAAGAUCCUCCUUCUGUGAAGUUUUCCAUGUAGAAUGAGUCAGCACUGGCAGUUUGUUUAACAGUUUGAUGCUGCCAGGUAGGGGUGUGAGGAUUCUGAAGGACUGGGACUGAAGCCCCUUGCACAUGCUGAACUGGUGUGAAAAAAGGUGCUGAGGGGUCUGUUGCCAUCACACUAGGGAUCAGAGGGCUUCUUAAUUUUGGCUUGAAAUUGAACCAUAUGCUAGUAGAAUUGUAUUCUUUUGAGUAACCAUGAGGUGAGGUAGAAAAGAUGAAGGUAACAGAUCUUUGGGGUUAUAGGCACAUGUGCUGAGGACUGGUCAGAUGCCCCAGACAAUACUACAUACUGUUCUAUAUGGGCUAAUGUACGUACACUUAUAAAUGGAGAGGCUGAGCAUCCUGCUCUGGCAGCCUGUCAUAAGGUCAAAGAGGAAUGAUUUACAAGUCUAAGACUCCAAAUACAGAGCCUUUUGUUGAGCGUGCCCUGGUGUUGUGCUGUUACUCUGAAAUACUACAUGAAGGAAUGACAUGAGGUCUGUGUCCUAGCCUGGAUGCUCCAGAGCGAAAACUGCACACACCAGCUUCUUACUGGGUGUAAUUGGAAGAAUCUAGAAGCAUGAGUUUAGAUUAUAGAAAAUUGGUUAAAUGAUGCAAAUACCAAUAAGGAAUACCAUGUUAUCAAAGGGAUGUCCAGGGACUAUGGAAUGCUGUAGCCCACCUGGCAGAAAAAAGCAACUUGCUGUGAAAAAAGGCAGACUUGCUGUGUGUCAGACACAUUAGAAUGUGGAUGCCAUCAAGGUUUCUGUAGAAAACUUGUUUCCACUUAAAAAGUAUUUGUACAGCUGCACAGCAGAUACAUGUGAAUUAUCCCUUAAAAGAUAAACCAAUAUAUUUCCUUAUCAUAAUCUUUAUAGGUUUUUGACAUUAUUUCUAUCCAUUUUUAAUACUCUGCACACUAAUGUACAUGAUACGGUAUGGUACGAUACUUGCUCUUUAAUACAUUUCUAUCACAGAUUGUAUUCCAGUGCAACAACAGUAACUUAUAUCAGCAUGUUGUAAGACUUCUGAGACGGGUGGCAGGAUCACUAAAACAAUUUAACUGGAGAGUAGUUCCUCACAGGGAAGUACACAAAUGACCAGAUGGCCUCCAUAGUUUGUACAAACUUUCUUGUGUUGGAAGUUGAAGGUACUUUGUGUGUCUGAGCCUAAGGAUCUAUUCCUACACUGAGUGGACUGCACGAGUGUUUGCUGCUUUAAUAGCUUGUGUUUUGUUCAGAGAUCAGUGUGCUAAAUGGUCCCUGAUGAGGAAAAAAGAAUUUGGAAAGUACUUUUCAUAUUCUACAAGAUUUUCACAGCCUAGUUGCUUAAGCUCUCUGAACCUUAAUUAAUUUUCUACAAGCAAUAACAGGUGUAUCUAUUUCUGAUUCCCUAGCCAUGUAUUUAUUGUAGGACAGACUGGUUUUUGAGGCAAGGAAACCUUUUACUGCUAGAGAAAACAUAACAAUGAACUGGUAAGUUGUUUUGCAGCAAUUUAGCUGAGUGGAUGUGAAAUACUGAUGGAUGAAAAGAAUCAUACCUACUCUAAAUCACUUGCUUUUUACUUUAUGCAGGACUUGUUCUGGAUGAUCAGCACAGGCAACUGUGUUAGGCUGGGCCAGCUAAAACAUUGUUUUCUAAGUAUGUGGGUGCAGCUGCCUUGCAGAAAUGUACUGUAGUAAAAUCCUUCAGUUCUUGAAUAUGGCUGUAAUGGCUGUCUAAAAAUAAUACCUAACAAAGGGUGUCCUUCGCAGGGAAAGCCAGAAAUAACCUUUUUCUCUGUCACAAGCAGCAGCUUGACCCAGAGACCACGAAAGAGCUGACUUUCAAGCACAUUUUCUACGUUAAGGAUUCUUGAGCUUGGACUUCCCCCCAAAGAGAUAAUAAAUACCAGUCGCUUCAA